rnacentral:rRNA from 1 species
UGAGUUUGAUUAUGGCUCAGAUUGAACGCUGGCGGCAGGCCUAACACAUGCAAGUCGAGCGGUAACAGGACUAGCUUGCUAGUUGCUGACGAGCGGCGGACGGGUGCGUAACACGUAGGAAUCUGCCCGGUAGUGGGGGAUAGCCCGGAGAAAUCCGGAUUAAUACCGCAUACGCCUUACGAGGGAAAGGAGGGGACUCUUCGGAGCCUUUCGCUAUCGGAUGAGCCUGCGUCGGAUUAGCUAGUUGGUGGGGUAAAGGCCUACCAAGGCGACGAUCCGUAGCUGGUCUGAGAGGAUGAUCAGCCACACUGGGACUGAGACACGGCCCAGACUCCUACGGGAGGCAGCAGUGGGGAAUAUUGCACAAUGGGGGAAACCCUGAUGCAGCCAUGCCGCGUGUGUGAAGAAGGCUCUAGGGUUGUAAAGCACUUUCAGCGAGGAGGAAAGGUUGCUGGUUAAUACCCAGCGGCUGUGACGUUACUCGCAGAAGAAGCACCGGCUAACUCCGUGCCAGCAGCCGCGGUAAUACGGAGGGUGCGAGCG